GCCAGCCCGCUCAAGAACUCAAAGGACGUUGACGGGACCCGCACAAGCAGCGGAGCGUGUGGUUUAAUUCGAUGCUACACGAAGAACCUUACCAAGGUUUGACAUGUAAGUGGUAGUGAUCUGAAAAGUGAACGACCCUUCGGGGAGCUUACACAGGUGCUGCAUGGCUGUCGUCAGCUCGUGUCGUGAGAUGUUCGGUUAAGUCCGCUAACGAGCGCAACCCUCACUGUGUGUUACAUGUGUCACACGGGACUGCCGGUUUUAAGCCGGAGGAAGGCGAGGAUGACGUCAAGUCAGCAUGGCCUUUAUAUCUUGGGCUACACACACGCUACAAUGGUCUGUACAAUAGGUUGCCAAGCCGCGAGGCGGAGCCAAUCCUUAAAGCAGGCCUCAGUUCAGAUUGCAGGCUGCAACCCGCCUGCAUGAAGAUGGAGUUGCUAGUAACCGCAGGUCAGCUAUACUGCGGUGAAUACGUUCCCGGGUCUU
rnacentral:rRNA from 1 species